UUUCCCACCAAGUGUGGCCCUGUUCAGAAGAGUGCUGCCAUUUGCCCAGCUUGUCCUCGCUGAUGGCCUGAGGUGAGGCUGAUGUGAGAGGACAUUACGAGAGGGACCUGACCGGAGCUCCAAGAGGACAGGGCACAGAGAGCACGCAACCCUUUAGGACAGCCAAACUGCCAACUGCGCUUGCACUGUGUGACCAGCAGCUCCAUCAAACCUGACAUGUGAAUGUGACUGACAAGGGCUUUGAGGCUUUUCUCCGAAUUGCAAUUCUCCUGAUGUACUGUAUGACCUCAAGCUAGAGGGCACUGCAGCGGAGGCCACAGGUGGAGUCUCCAUGGGGCAGCAUGCUGAUGCCAUGAGGUCCACCUGUACUCCGCGUUCUGGGCUCUGCCUUCUCUACACAGCGUUCUGGGCUCGCCUCCACGGCAGAACCUCAGCCGAACUCUGCCUGGCAAGGCAACCCCAUCCCCACUGGGCCUGAGUCAGGCUGAAUGGGUGGACACACCGAGAUUUCAAAUGACUAUCAGACUGAAUAUGGCAUGCUGACGUUAAAGCAAUAAACAGACCAUUCUAAACUGCCCAGUCACAGAUGUACUGUACCUGUUGUUCUGACAUGUUUCUAAAAUCUGUCAUUUUAAACAAUUCAUUUCAAAGAGAGGUAGAUGCAUGAAUGGAACAUGAAUGGAACAUGUUUGA